rnacentral:rRNA from 1 species
UAGGGAAUCUUCCACAAUGGACGCAAGUCUGAUGGAGCAACGCCGCGUGAGUGAAGAAGGUUUUCGGACCGUAAAGCUCUGUUGUUGGUGAAGAAGGAUAGAGGUAGUAACUGGCCUUUAUUUGACGGUAAUCAACCAGAAAGUCACGGCUAACUACGUACCAGCAGCCGCGGUAAUACGUAGGUGGCAAGCGUUGUCCGGAUUUAUUGGGCGUAAAGCGAGCGCAGGCGGAAGAAUAAGUCUGAUGUGAAAGCCCUCGGCUUAACCGAGGAAUUGCAUCGGAAACUGUUUUUCUUGAGUGCAGAAGAGGAGAGUAGAACUCCAUGUGUAGCGGUGGAAUGCGUAGAUAUAUGGAAGAAUACCAGUGGCGAAGGCGGCUCUCUGGUCUGCAACUGACGCUGAGGCUCGAAAGCAUGGGUAGCGAACAGGAUUAGAUACCCUGGUAGUCCAUG